rnacentral:lncRNA from 1 species
AUUAUUUCAUACAAACAAGAAUGUCCAUAUGGGUUUUCAUAAAGAAGCCCCUUUGGUUUUUCUCUUAGCUCAUGCAUAUAAUAAUUGAGGACUUGACCCCAAUGCCCUCGAUCCUUCGAAAAACUUAUGAAAUUAGACACCAUUUAGUCCAGUUGACUAAAUUAUCUCCAAAAAUAAAAAUUUAUUUCCAUUUUUAUAGAUAACUCAAUUUUCUUAGGGAAAUUUUAGUUGAAUAUUUGUAGCUAAUAUUAUUUAUACAAGUCAUUUUAACAGGUGCCGUUUGUAUAAAGGGUCAACUUUAAUCAAAGUAAGGUGAGCCGCUAAAUCUCUAAAUUGUGCAGGAACAUGUAGCUCUGGAGAUGAAAAGCAUUGUAGCAGUCUAAAAAUCUAUUCGUAACAUUUUUAAUGAAAUUUAAAUCUCUAAAAGAGAUACAAGUCCCAAAACUAUUAUAAUGGUUUAAAUAUCCAUCUCUACUUCUAAUUAUGAAAUUUAAAGUUUUAAAAAGAUACAGAUUAAACAGAUCCAUAAACACUUGAAAAACUAAAAAAUUGACAGUACAAAGAAUUUGUUACAAAACAAACCACUUUCAGGACUAAAUUUUUAUUUAUUUAUUUUUCACAUCCAUAAAUCUCGAGGAUGAAAUGAUCAAACUGAGUUAUAUAAUGGGAAAGCAAGAGGCGUUGGAGGACAUUCCCAUUUGCUAAACGUGUGCUUGGUGGGGUUGGGUUUCACAUGAAUACUAUUUAUCUUUCUUUAAUUAUUGUUGUCCUUCAUGAUGUACGUGUAGAGAGAGAGAG